rnacentral:lncRNA from 1 species
GGUUCGUGGGAAAAGAAGGGGGGAAAGUGUGGUCAACGGGAAAGUAAUGAGAUGCCUCUUGUUUGGUUGGAGUUUUCAAAGAAAAGAGAUAGAAAAGUUGUAUUCCCAUGGGAAUAUGAUUCUCACAUUUCAUGGGAAAGUCUUUUCCAUGAGAAACAUGGGAAAGUCUUUUCCAUGAGAAACAUGGAAAAGUUACUUUUCCAUGAGGCGGAAAUUACUUUAUUUUUAUUUUUUUCAAAAAGGCCCUUCAGCAUUAAAGAAGCAUUAAAGAGGCAUUAAAGACCUAAUUUUUAUUAAGGGCAUAAUAGGAAUUAUACAUAACUUUUCCAGGAAAGUGGAUGGCCAAUUAAACAUAAGCACUUUGGAAAUUUGUCACUUUCCCAUGAUCAACCAAACAUGCCAAAAAUACUUUCCUAGGCAUCCUCUUCCUAGGAAUUUGUUUCCCAGGAAUCAUAUUCCUAGGAGGAAAAAUGCUUCCCGUGAACCAAACGAGCCCUAAGGAAUUAUGUUUGUAGUUUCUCACUUUGAUAAAUUUGCUAUGCUCAAAAUCUGAUUCACCUUCAAUAUGGUUUUGCAAUCUCUUGAAAAAUGUGAUGAUGACUUCUCAUGAUGCCUUUAUGGUAGGAAUAUUAAUUUAUUUACCUUGAUACAUAUAUCCUGCAAAUAUUGAGAAAAGAUAUAGGCAUAGACCAAAUGGGAUACUUGGAAUUAAAUUUGUCAUCUUAUGGCUUUUGGAUAGUUCAUUUUAUGAUAACUGGUAGCCAUCACGUACAAAUUAGCGGGCUUAUAGAAAAUUGCAUUUGGCUGACAUUUUGAGUUGGUUUUCUUGGAUACUAAUAGUGUCUUAUAAAAAACUCAUUUGGAUGAAAAGCUACUUUUUUUCUCAAAAAGCAAUUCUCGCAUAGCUAAUACUGUAAGACUGUAAAUCCCCAGUCCUUAAGCGCUGUGUUGAACACUAUAAAGCCAACCCACAUCUUUUUUGCUCCCAUCCAUCUUCAUUGAGAAGGCACCAAUAUCCAUCCUAGCACUUGUUAUUUCCUCUGUUGUUAUCCUGGAUAAAUUAGUGGCUAACAAAAUGGUUAUGGUGCACCAUCUAGUAUUUAAAGGCUUGAAAAUUGGGCUCCACCUGCUUCAGCUAUGCUUAGUCUUUGACUAAAGCAGAGUUUUGACUACCCCAUCAUUAUUAACAAUAACGCAUUGGGUCCCCCCCCCUUCCCCUCCUCCUGAAAAAAAGAAUAAAUAAAAGAACUUAAAUCUCUGUUAGCAACGGCUACAUCACUAUGUUGUUGCUUAGUAUGCUAGCCAAAAUCCUGCCAUUUGACUUGUGCCAGACAUAGGUUAUGUUGGUGCAGUGGAGAUAAAGCAUGGAGGGAGAAUGCCAGAUGGCAGUUAUGCACAUAAAAUAUCUACUUAGAGAAUUUAUAGGAUCGUCAUUCUGCUACAUGAAUUAAAAUAUAGUUUAGCUGAAGGGUUAAAUACAUAAAGAUAAGAGGGACACUGCUGGGAGACGUUGGGCAUGUUAGAGUUCCCAGAUAAUGGGAGAUCAGAAAUUUUCUUUAUUCUAUAUAGAUGAUUAACUAAGGCUGAUUGCUGAACCAGAGGUGUUAAAUGGUUGAACCAUCUGGUUCAACAGCUUUGAAAGGCUUUUCCAAAAGUUUGGGUCCUGAUCUGACCUGACCUGAGUAUGCUAAUGGGUGACAGGUUGAACAGGUGGACCCUUUGACUUAAAAAGGUUUUAGAAAAUCAGUAUGUGAAAUAGGUGAACAAAUGCAGCUAGUGCAGGGUGUACGUCAGGCUGUCACUCAGACCCCCAUGACAUCUUGUGUUGCCUUCUACUUAAAGGUUCUGUUAUCAUUAUCCCAUGUCUGGCCAUCAUAUACUAUCAUGAUCGCUUUUUUCUUGUUUUGCUCUACCUUUUCACUUGCUGACCCGUUUGGUACCUGGACUAUACCUGACCUAGAGACUUAAUGAGUCUAACAAUUUUAUAUCUAACUGGAUUCAACCUGACCACUAAUUGAUAAAUGGGUAGGUUAUGGAUCAAAUUUAGCUCUGAAUAUCCUAGUGGAUUUGGGUCCAAUUGGUGGUACCGGAACACAACACCCUAAUAACACCCUUAGGUGUAUGUAUAUUUAUGUUUUCAAUAAUAUAUUUUUAUCAAACAAUUCAUUGAUAUAUCAAAAUUAAUUUAACACGUGAGAUGAUAUUUUC